GCAGACAGCGGGGCAGGGUGGCUGCAGGAGCCGGGGGAGCUGAGCCUUCGCCCCCACCCCCCGCCUGCCUAGCGGGUCGCUGCCUCCUCAACAGCCGGGGCGCUUCCACCUGCGCAGCCACCGCGCCGCCCUGUCCGCGCUGCCAUUGGCUCGCUAAAAAUGCCUCUCUAAUCUGAGCUCGUCCGUGCGCCUCCUCCCUCAUCCCCCCCCUCCCGCCUCGGCUCUGACCUUCCUCCUUCCCGCAGCCCCGGAGAGAUCCCGGAGAGACGCGGUGGCAGCGGCAGCGGCAGCCCCUUCCUCCCCCGGGAAGUCUUCCGGGCUUGAGCCGGGCCUCGGGCGCCCCGCUUCGCCCCUUGGCGCCACCGGAGGUGCUCUCGGCGCUGCUGCCACCAGACAGAGCCUCAAGCUGUUGCCCUGGGUAGAGUGCUCUGGCAUCACAGCUCACAGCAAUCUCCAACUCCUGGGCUUAAGCAAUUCUCUUGCUUCAGCCUCCCAAGUAGCUGGAACUACAGGCACCCGCCACAAUGCCCGGCUAUUUUUUUUUUUUUUUUGGUUGCAGUGUGGCCACUGCUGGGUUCGAACCUGCUACCGUUGGUAUAUGGGGCCGGCACCCUAUCCCCUGAGCCACAGGCUCCACCCAGAAUCAGUAAUUCUUUUAUAUAAUCAAAUAUCAGUUCAAUAUUCACAUUCCCUAUUGUUUCAAACAUCAUAAUGUCUUUUUAAAUUUUGAAUAGUUUGUUUAAAUCAAAAUCCAAGUAAGAGGCACAAACACAUGGCUGGUCAUGGGUCUGCGUCAUGGCGGUGUUUGCAGACUUGGACUUGUGGGCCAGUUCAGACCUCAAGACUCUAUGCUGACUCAUGGAGACCCUGCUUACCUUGGCUAUUCAAUUGUUGCUGUCAAUCAUGUUGUUGACUUUAAGAAAAAGAAAUAAGAAAUUAAAAAACCAGUAGUGGUUUCUGAACUUUUCACAACUUUGCCAGUUUUACCGGAAAAAUCAAGACCAAUAAAAAUUUUAACUAGAUUGACGAUUAUUGUUUCGGAUCCAUCACACUGCAGUGUUUUGAGAGCAACUUCUUCAAGGGUUCAACUCUGACAUUGUGGCAGUUUUUCCAAAGACAAAAACUUUUUCAUGUUGCUUGCACACACUUAGAUGUGGAUUUAGUCUGUAUAACUGUAACAGAGAAUCUACCAUUUUACUUCAAAAGACCCCCUAUUAAUGUGGCAAUUGACCAAGGUCUGGGCUUUGAACUUGUCUAUGGCCCUGCUAUCUAAGUUUCUACAAUGAGGAGGUACACAAUUUCCAAUGCCCUCAAUUUGAUGCAGAUCUGCAAAGGAAAGAACGUAAUUAUUUCUAGUGUUGCAGAAAGGCCUUUAGAAAUCAGAGGGCCAUACGAUUUUGCAAACUUAGGGUUGUUGUUUGGACUAUCUGAAAGUGAUGCCAAGGCUGCAGUGUCCACCAACAGCCGAGCAGCCCUUCUCCAUGGAGAAACUACAGAAACUGCUUUUGGAAUUAUUUCUACAGUGAAGAAACCUCACAUCAGAAGGAGAUGAUGAUUCUUUUCAGCCUUCAAGAAAGCCAAGUCGAAGCCUGGAGAGCGAGUGGUGA